rnacentral:rRNA from 1 species
CCUACGGGAGGCAGCAGUGGGGAAUAUUGGACAAUGGGGGCAACCCUGAUCCAGCCAUGCCGCGUGUGUGAAGAAGGCCCUCGGGUUGUAAAGCACUUUCAGUGAGGAAGAACGCCUGGUGGUUAAUACCCAUCAGGAAAGACAUCACUCACAGAAGAGGCACCGGCUAACUCCGUGCCAGCAGCCGCGGUAAUACGGAGGGUGCGAGCGUUAAUCGGAAUUACUGGGCGUAAAGCGCGCGUAGGUGGCUUGAUAAGCCGGUUGUGAAAGCCCCGGGCUCAACCUGGGAACGGCAUCCGGAACUGUCAAGCUAGAGUGCAGGAGAGGAAGGUAGAAUUCCCGGUGUAGCGGUGAAAUGCGUAGAGAUCGGGAGGAAUACCAGUGGCGAAGGCGGCCUUCUGGACUGACACUGACACUGAGGUGCGAAAGCGUGGGUAGCAAACAGGAUUAGAUACCCUUGUAGUC